AUGUAUGUAUAUGUAGGAUGUAUCUUAAAAAGCGCUCACGAACCAUAUAGCGCUAUUCCUGAUCAAAAACUGAGUCUAAAACUUAUGAACCAUUUUGCAAUUUUCGCAAU